GGAACAGAGAGGGAGAUGAAGAAAGAGGACAAAACAGAGAUGGAACAAGAGCAGAGGAAAGAGAAGGCGCAUUUCCACCGAGAGGAGCAGAGUUUGCAACUACAUGUUCAUCAUGACGACUGCAACCUGGACAGAAAUAUUAUAUCAUCUGUUUUUUAUUCAACUGUAUUCUAAGCACCAGCGAUCUGUUAGAAUUUUUAGAGUUUACUUAACUAAAAAUAAAUAAGGUUAACAUAUAA